AGGCUUCUACAGCCAGCUUCUUCUCCUGGCCAGUGACUUUUAGCAACCUUCUUUCUUUACAUCACUAAAGUUCCCAUGUCUACUGUUUUAAUUGGAAAGGUGUCUCCGUUGAGGAGCAGGAAGCCUCAGCCAGCAUGGCCCCGCUGCUUGCUUCGUUUUCCACCGCGGUUUGAUUUUGCUCUCUUCUCUGUAUUUCAGCUCAUGCGGGGAAAAAAGAGAAAAGAGGACAUGGUGAAAGCUAAGGCACUGUGGAUUGACCAGGCGGCCGCAGCUCCAACCCAUGCUCCAAGAAAGAACAGUGGUCCGGGGGAUGACCAAGGAUGAGUCUCCUACCGUGGCUUGCUUGGGGGCAGAUCUAGCUCCCCCUCCCGCCUUUCUUUUACAACUUCCAUGCCUAAGACAAAAUGAUCAAGGAACCCAACCCGUACCUUCACAACCAGACCCUCCGGGUUAUCCCAGGCCUGCAUAUCGCAGAGCCCGGGCGGGGAUUGCAGCGUGCACGGAAUCGAAUUAAACGCAUCUCGGUGG
rnacentral:lncRNA from 1 species